rnacentral:rRNA from 1 species
GCGCAGCAGGCGCGAAUUUUCACAAUGGGGGAAACCCUGAUGGAGCGACGCCGCGUGGAGGAUGAAGGCGUUUUCGUCGUAAACUCCUGUCAAACGGGAACAAGAAAGUGAUAGUACCGUUAGAGGAAGAGGCGGCUAACUCUGUGCCAGCAGCCGCGGUAAUACAGAGGCCUCAAGCGUUGUUCGGAUUCAUUGGGCGUAAAGGGUGCGUAGGUGGCUUGGUAAGUUGAAGGUGAAAUCUCGGGGCUUAACUCCGAAACUGCCUUCAAUACUGCCGAGCUCGAGGAUUGUAGAGGAGAAUGGAAUUCACGGUGUAGCAGUGAAAUGCGUAGAUAUCGUGAGGAAGACCAGUGGCGAAGGCGAUUCUCUGGGCAAUUCCUGACACUGAGGCACGAAGGCUAGGGGAGCAAACGGGAUUAGAUACCCGCGUAGU